rnacentral:lncRNA from 1 species
CUGGCCUAGACAAUUUUCUUCGAUCUCUUUAAUCAAAUUAACUAGGCUGAGAAUGACUGAGAUAAGUUGCGAUUUUAUUGAAAAUAUGUUGUUAUUGAUAAAAGAAAAGAGAGGAAAAAACAUUUGCAAGGGUGCGGGAUAAGUUGCGGAUUAACCCAAAACUCAUUAUAAAUUUGAGAAGAAAGAGUGAAAAAUUGAUAAGAUAAAAUUGUCGCGAGUUUACGAGAGACGAACGAAUGUCUUUUAAUGCUAGAUAAGUUUUAGGCACGUUUAAUAUAUUUGUCUUAAUUAAGAAUGCGGUGUACGCAUCUUUUUGAGACAUUAAAAAAUAAUUCGAGGAUGCAAUAAUGCACCUCGACAAAGAUCGUCCUAAAAAUUAGUUAACUUUCACUAGUUUAAUGCAAGAGGUAUAGACAAUAGACAUUGAAGAUGAGCGAUUUAAGGUCAGCAAAUAUAAUUUAUCCAAAAUAGUUAAAGCCAAGUAUAUGUUGAUAAAAGAGACUGUGCUUGAACCACGGGACUCGAGGGGUACCUCAAUUUUCGUCAGUCAACAUAAUUUCUUACCUAGCCUUCUAUUUUCGCUGACCAAUAAAGAGUCAUUUCCUUUUGAUUAGAAAUUCAAUAAGGUGACUUGCAACACCAUAACUCAAUUUCAAGUGGC